UUCCACCAGCCCACUCCAGCAACUUCCCCUUCACUUAAACAAAAUAACAACCAUCACCCCAAAGCCCAAUUCUGCACCCAACCAGCCCAUAACAUACAACAGCCCAUUCCCCUUACCUCUUUAACAACCCUGCGCAGGCCCACAUCCCCAGCAACCCAAUCUGCCGCCCCAAGCCCUAAAAAAGACCCGACCCAGUCCCGCUUUUCUCCACUAAUUAAACAACAACAUCAACGACCACCGUACAACAGCAACCAACGCAACAAUUAACAGAAGAAAUUUCAAAGCGGUAACAGUACAACAACGGCAAAAACAGCUCAGCAAACAAGGUUCCAAUUCCAGGUCAAACCUAUUUACCCCUCCGUCUCCCCCCAAAAUCAGUGUCAAAUCUUCUGUAAAUAUCCAACUAUGUAAAGAGAAAGAGGGAGAAUUUUUGGGAAAAAAUUUGAGGAUUCGAGAGGCGUGCUUCUAAUCCUACGUAACCAAAAUUUCUCGAAGAAACAGACUCAAGAGCUUGAUUCCGACGAAAAUUAAACUCCGAAUUUAGUGUUGGAAGUUUCAUCGUAAAGUCUCGUAAUCCCAGUUCGCUGCUCGGAAAAAGGGACUGGUAUACAUUUGUAUACUGUGGAUCUACACUGGAAAACAGCAGCUGCACAUCAUCACGCGAUUUAUGAUGAAAAGUGGAGGGAAAAUAAGCACUUUUCGACACUGAUAUACACUAUAUAUGCAGUGAUAUACAACAAAAAACGCAGAGGAAUACAGCUUGUAUACAUGUAGUAUACACUGCAGAAAUGGGACCAAAAAGUUUAUAAAGAAUGGGCCCAAAAGCUGGCCAGAUUUGGGAAAAGGCCCAAAUUUUGAUUCUUCUUAUUUAUUUUGUAAAUCCUAUUUGAUUAUGUGCUUGUCUUAAAUUAUUAACUUGGUUAGCCUUUAUAAAUCCUCUGUGAAUCGUUAUUUUUGUUUGUC